rnacentral:RNase_P_RNA from 1 species
CAUACAGCCGCCGCAAGCCUCACGGCUUGGGGAGGAAAGUCCGGACACGAUUGGACACAGUGGUGGCUAACGGCCACCCGUGCGCGUGGGCGCGCAUGCGGGACAGUGCAACAGAAAGCAAACCGCCGAACGGCGCCUUCGGGCGUGCGUGGUAAGGGUGAAACGGUGCGGUAAGAGCGCACCGCCUGACCGGUGACGGCCAGGGCAUGGCAAACCCCACUGCGUGCAAGCGCAAGCAGUCUCGGUCGACGGUUUCCGUCGACGCCCGUGUCCACGGGUAUCGGGGCGGGUCGCGUGCUGGAGCCAGUCGGCAACGACUGGCCUAGAUAAAUGGCUGUACGCGGCUUUGCCGCUGACAGAAUCCGGCUUACCGUCCGUGUCGCCCA